UGUGGGAGCUGGCUUGCCAGCGAUGGCAUCAGCGCGGCGUGCCUGCAGCACCGUGUUGCCUGAAUCGCUGGCAAGCCAGCUCCCACA
rnacentral:misc_RNA from 1 species